AUUGAACGCUGGCGGCAGGCCUAACACAUGCAAGUCGAGCGGCAGCGGGAAAGUAGCUUGCUACUUUUGCCGGCGAGCGGCGGACGGGUGAGUAAUGCCUGGGGAUCUGCCCAGUCGAGGGGGAUAACUACUGGAAACGGUAGCUAAUACCGCAUACGCCCUACGGGGGAAAGCAGGGGACCUUCGGGCCUUGCGCGAUUGGAUGAACCCAGGUGGGAUUAGCUAGUUGGUGAGGUAACGGCUCACCAAGGCGACGAUCCCUAGCUGGUCUGGGAGGAUGAUCAGCCACACUGGAACUGAGACACGGUCCAGACUCCUACGGGAGGCAGCAGUGGGGAAUAUUGCACAAUGGGGGAAACCCUGAUGCAGCCAUGCCGCGUGUGUGAAGAAGGCCUUCGGGUUGUAAAGCACUUUCAGCGAGGAGGAAAGGUUGGUAGCUAAUAACUGCCAGCUGUGACGUUACUCGCAGAAGAAGCACCGGCUAACUCUGUGCCAGCAGCCGCCGUAACAC
rnacentral:rRNA from 1 species